rnacentral:rRNA from 1 species
GAUGAACGCUGGCGGCGUGCCUAAUACAUGCAAGUCGAGCGAACGGACGAGAAGCUUGCUUCUCUGAUGUUAGCGGCGGACGGGUGAGUAACACGUGGAUAACCUACCUAUAAGACUGGGAUAACUUCGGGAAACCGGAGCUAAUACCGGAUAAUAUUUUGAACCGCAUGGUUCAAAAGUGAAAGACGGUCUUGCUGUCACUUAUAGAUGGAUCCGCGCUGCAUUAGCUAGUUGGUAAGGUAACGGCUUACCAAGGCAACGAUGCAUAGCCGACCUGAGAGGGUGGUCGGACACACUGGAACUGAGACACGGUCCAGACUCCUACGGGAGGCAGCAGUAGGGAAUCUUCGGCAAUGGGCGAAAGCCUGACGGAGCAACGCCGCGUGAGUAAUGAAGGUUUUCGGAUCGUAAAACUCUGUUAUUAGGGAAGAACAUAUGUGUAAGUAACUGUGCACAUCUUGACGGUACCUAAUCAGAAAGCCACGGCUAACUACGUG